AAGAAAUGGCCUGACAUAAGCGAUGGCUGUUAAAUUGCUGCCCACGCCAAAAGCUACGCAGACGCGGGGCGCUGAAUAAACCCGGAGAGUCACAAGUUACCUUGUGCUGUGGGGGAUUUUUGCGCUCCAGACCAAGAGUAAAGACCACCUCUCGGGAUGUCCUGCCAGGAAUUCACUGAGUCUACACCAUAGACUGUAUAAAAGAAGUCUAAACAUGACUACACUUGACUACACACACAUAGGGAAAGCCUACGAGCACUCUCACCAUGAAAGGUCAAAUUAAGCACAUAUAGGUCAUGCUGAUACUGUAGUACUGGUGCUUAUUUUUUGUACUUUAAAGUUGUAAGGAAGCACUCCCAAUCAUUUUCAGUGGUCUGAUACCUCAUCUUGAAGUUUCCUAUUAGCACAGGGCAAAAUGAAAUGAUUAGGAGUAAUCAUUAUGGGGAAAAAUUGGCAGAUGUCUUAAGUACAAAAAAUAGUGAUAAUGAUUUAGAUACGCCUACAGUAGUAGAGGUUUGUAAUGGGAAUAUUGUUGGACUGUACCUGUGAUUAAGAGCUAUUCAAAGUAAUUUUUCCCAGUUUUCAACUGGUGAGCAAUAUCAUCCACCAACUAUACCAUCUAAAUUAAACAUUUCCUUAAGUAUAUGUUUUAAAUUAAAUUCUGUUUUAACUUCACUUAUACAGUUUGAUCUAAAUUAUAUGAGAUGAUUCCUCCUGUGAAGACAUCUUUUUGUAUGCAGUGUAAAGUUAAAGGUCUUCAUUUCUAA